rnacentral:tRNA from 1 species
GAGGAGGUGGCUGAGUGGUUGAAAGCAAUAGACUGUAAAUCUAUUUUAUGAAAUUAUUAAAUUCAUAGGUUCGAAUCCUAUUCUCCUUC